CAAAGAAUAAUCCCACCCACUGCUCAACUACCACCCCUGUUUGUUACAGACCCGAUGCCCUUGGCUGAUGGAGGAACUGCAUCUGGAGGACGACCAUGAAUCUACCUGCCAACAGGUGGUACUGGUUUGCACUGGUUUGCAUGAACUGAACAUGGUGGACAUGAGGCAAAUUCCCUGCUUUUUGCUCCAGACCAGGACUCUGUGAUGGAGGGGGGCUGAUAGAGCCGUGCUGAGGACCCGCUGGUGAAGGACGUCCCUCGUGGGGGGGGGCAAGGACAGCCGACCCUGAGGAUCCGCUCGGAUCUACGAUCGCUACGAUGCGACUGCAGAGGUCUCUGGAAGACCUGGAGUCCUUGGCUGAGGAGAGCUGAUGGAGGAGCCGUGCACCUGGAGAACCAUGAGUCUGCCUGCCAACAAGUAGUACUGGAAGGCAGGGCAUAGGGAGGUGAUGGAGGACCUGCCUGGUGAAGGACGUCAGGGUGGGGCGAGUGACACCCGACUCCAAGGGGAUAUCCACUGAGGAGAGAGCUGAAGGAGCCAUGCAUCUGGAAGGUGCAGUUGAAAUGCUGUGUCCAGUCUGGGACACACACCUGAGCUGCGUCAAACCUGUAUUUCUGACCAGCUGGAGUCCCUUAGUGAUCAACAACCGCCACUCAUCGCUGGCCUGUGGAUUCAUCUCCUUCACACUCACACAACGUGACCUUGGCCUGUGGAUUAAUCUCCUUCACACUCACACAACGUGACCUUGGCCUGUGGAUUCAUCUCCUCCACACUCACACAACAGGACUUUGGCCUGUGGAUUCAUCUCCUCCACACUCACGCAACGUGACCUUCUCACCAUCUGUUGCACGUUUGGAUGCACCUAGCGUGUUCCAUCGAGGGUU